rnacentral:rRNA from 1 species
CAGCAGCCGCGGGAAUACGUAGGGUGCGAGCGUUAAUCGGAAUUACUGGGCGUAAAGCGUGCGCAGGCGGUUAUGCAAGACAGAUGUGAGAUCCCCGGGCUCAACCUGGGAACUGCAUUUGUGACUGCAUGACUAGAGUACGGCAGAGGGGGAUGGAAUUCCGCGUGUAGCAGUGAAAUGCGUAGAUAUGCGGAGGAACACCGAUGGCGAAGGCAAUCCCCUGGGCCUGUACUGACGCUCAUGCACGAAAGCGUGGGGAGCAAACAGGAUUAGAUACCCCUGUAGUCCCUGUCUCUUAUAC